rnacentral:rRNA from 1 species
GUAGAAGUCGUAACAAGGUUUCCGUAGGUGAACCUGCGGAAGGAUCAUUGUCGAAGCCUGCACAGCAGAACGACCCGCGAACAUGUAAUGACAACCGGGCGUCGGGGGGAACGGGCGCAAGCCUGGGACCUGCGGCACUCCGUCGGCAAGCGUCCGUGGCGUCCCUAUUGGGGCCUUGCGGGCGUUUCGUCGGCACGUAAACAAACCCCGGCACAACACGUGCCAAGGAAAACAAAACUUACGAAAGGCGCUUCUCGUGUCGCCCCGUUCGCGGUGCGCGCAUGGGUCGUGGCCUCUCCGGAAACACAAACGACUCUCGGCAACGGAUAUCUCGGCUCACGCAUCGAUGAAGAACGUAGCAAAAUGCGAUACUUGGUGUGAAUUGCAGAAUCCCGUGAACCAUCGAGUUUUUGAACSCAAGUUGCGCCCGAASCCAUUCGGCCGAGGGCACGUCYGCCUGGGCGUCACGCAUCGCGUCGCCCCCUACCACGCCUCCCCCACGGGGACGCGUGUCGUCGGGGGCGGAGAUUGGUCUCCCGUGCCCACGGCGCGGCUGGCCUAAAAGGGAGUCCCCUUCGACGGACGCACGGCUAGUGGUGGUUGUAAUGGCCCUCGUAUCGAGCCGUGCGUCGCGAGCCGCAAGGGAAGCGCUCGACAAAGACCCCAACGCGUCGCCUCACGACGACGCUUCGACCGCGACCCCAGGUCAGGCGGGACUACCCGCUGAGUUUAAGCAUAUCAAUAAAGCGG